GACGAACGCUGGCGGCGUGCUUAACACAUGCAAGUCGAACGGAAAGGCCCUGCUUUUGUGGGGUGCUCGAGUGGCGAACGGGUGAGUAACACGUGAGUAACCUGCCCUUGACUUUGGGAUAACUUCAGGAAACUGGGGCUAAUACCGGAUAGGAGCUCCUGCUGCACGGUGGGGGUUGGAAAGUUUCGGCGGUUGGGGAUGGACUCGCGGCUUAUCAGCUUGUUGGUGGGGUAGUGGCUUACCAAGGGUUUGACGGGUAGCCGGCCUGAGAGGGUGACCGGCCACAUUGGGACUGAGAUACGGCCCAGACUCCUACGGGAGGCAGCAGUGGGGAAUAUUGCACAAUGGGCGGAAGCCUGAUGCGGCAACGCCGCGUGCGGGAUGACGGCCUUCGGGUUGUAAACCGCUUUCGCCUGUGACGAAGCGUGAGUGACGGUAAUGGGUAAAGAAGCACCGGCUAACUACGUG
rnacentral:rRNA from 1 species